rnacentral:rRNA from 1 species
UACGGGGGGAGCAAGCGUUGUUCGGAAUCACUGGGCGUAAAGGGAGUCUAGGCGGUUUGGUAAGUGGGAUGUGAAAUCCCCGGGCUCACCCCGGGACCUGCAUCCCAAACUGCUGAGCUUGAGUACAGGAGAGGGUGGGGGAAUUCCAGGUGUAGCGGUGAAAUGCGUAGAUAUCUGGAGGAACACCGGUGGCGAAGGCGGCAUCCUGGACCGGCAUUGACGCUGAGGCGCGAAAGCCAGGGGAGCAAACGGG